rnacentral:rRNA from 1 species
ACAGUCACACAUUAGAUACCCCUGUAGUCCCAGCUGUAAACGAUGCAGACUAGGUGUUUGGACGGCCACGUGCCGUUCUAGUGCCGCAGGGAAGCUGUUAAGUCUGCCGCCUGGGGAAUACGAUCGCAAGAUUGAAACUUAAAGGAAUUGGCGGGGGAGCACCACAAGGGGUGAAGCUUGCGGUUUAAUUGGAGUCAACGCCGGAAAUCUCACCGGGAGCGACAGCAGUGUGAUAGCCAGAUUAAAGGUCUUGCUAGACGAGCUG